rnacentral:misc_RNA from 1 species
AGAGCGACGAAACCUUUGAGAUGGAACUGGCUCCGCUCUAAUCAGACACCGUUUGAAAAAAGCGAUCAUUGGAAGAUUUAAAUUAGUUGGCGCAAUUAGAUCGGUGACAACUCGCUGGCACUUGAGAUUGAGUUCAGUCCGGUCUGGGUGUUCGGCCGGUUGUCCCAAAAAAGGAUUAUAUUUAUAGCCAUUCCUAGCAUUUUUAGACAUUUCGGAUGUAUUUCAGAUAGCAGAAUUUGUAAAGGAGGGUUUGGUCCAGUUAUAGGGGAGACUCUGCCGAAAUUUCAGUGAUCAGUACCGACUAACUUUUCUUCUUUCCAGCCGAACCAGCUGCAAUCGAGUCAACCAGUGUCCAACAGCCAAUAGUAAUGUAGCAACUGAUUUCAUCUUCAUAAUGUAAAUGGAUGAUGGUUUUCGGAAGAGUUCUUUCUCUUAAUUUGUCGAAGGGCCAACGAGUAAGCAAUGGCUCUGUAAAAUUAUAUAAAACAUCCCACACCAACGUUUGGACAAAGGUUGGCUGAAGAUCUCCUCUCAAUUCCAAAAUGAGAGGUGUUAUUGAAGCAACAAAUCUGUUCCCAUACAAAUAUGACAUUGGCAGAUAAGUCAUCAGAAAAUAGCAUAACAUUUUGGCUGCAUCAGAGUGAAGAAAUUUCAUGAUUUCAGAAUCUAAGUUAAGUCAUUCAAUGCAGUAUUAUGAAAUUUAACAAAACCUGUGUGGAGUGGAAAGAAACUAAGUAUUUUCUGUUCAAGUUUCUUAAUGCCUGAAUGUGGGCUAACUUUGUUCCUGCAUUUAUCAUUCUCUGUUUACAACAGAUGUGACACUUGAAGAUCCAAUAACGGUUCAUUCCCAACUCCUUUAAACUGCACGUCCUCGUGUAGGGGACACGGUGUUAGGUCAGGCUAGAGAACCUCAAAAGCUAACUCAAGGGUGAAGGUCUACUAACCCAUAUAACUAGCACCCAAGACCUCCUUACCAACCGAUGUGGGACUUGGAGACCCAAGAACACAUCAUUCAGGAUCAUGGACCUUGUAUGGAUUAGAUGUAUCGCAGUUUGGAGAUGUAAA